AGGGGAUUAGUGUAACGGUAGCACGACUGAUUCUGGUUCAGUUAGUACAGGUUCAAAUCCUGUAUCCCCUG
rnacentral:tRNA from 2 species